rnacentral:lncRNA from 1 species
AUUUAAUUCAUUGUUCAUUCAGCAUUGGAAUUAUUGUCAAGUGAUAUACAGUUUUCUUAAUUCAGUGGAUCUAUUUUUACAUCCAUUUAAUUCAUUGGGAUUUAUUGUGAAAAAGUGAUGGAUUUACUCCAGAAAUAAGUUCUUCCAAGGAUUUUACAAGUAAGUAAAAUAUGAUAUUUCUUUGCUAUUGUAUCAAUACAGCUUAAGGAUAAAAAUCAAUUGUUCUACACCUGAUGUCUUGUGAUUCAUGUCCUUGUAACAGCUUGACUUGUAAAGAGUCUUUAAUACCAGCACCGAAUAAAAGAAUAAAACAUGUUACCCGUCUAGGAUCAGUUCAGAAUAAAUCACUUGUAAGAUAUUAACUAUGUGAGAAGGGAAUAUUGUCCUCAAAAUGAAUACUCGUAAUCUUCUAUGAAUGCAUUCUGUUCACUUAUAAAAUAUAAUAUAAAUAAACAGGAUUUAUGUUUACAUUAACAAUGUAGUGAAGACAUAAAAGGGGUGAAGUAUUACUUUUGGGGAAAAGUCUGAAAGUCCUUUGAAUUUUAAUUUGUGUACAGCUGCUGACCACCUCCGGGUAUGAGAAAACCAAUUGGUGGCAUUGGGCUGUUGUCUGCUCUUGGGUCACAUUUUUGUCGAGCCUGCGACUUUUGUUGCAGAAAGCUCGACAUAGGGAUAGUGAUCCGGCAGCGGCUAUGGCGGCGGCGUAAGCUCACUUCUUAAAAGCUUUAUAUUUUAGAAGGUGGAAGACCUGGAUGCUUCAUACUUUGUAUAUAGAUGCUUCAUGUUACGAAGUUUCCGUCAGUCACAUGUCCAAAGUUCAAAUUUUUUGUAAUGUUGAAUUCUCUCUUAUUAUAAGUAAUAGGAUAACUAUAUUUGAUAUGUGCGUACCUUGCAAGGUCCUCGUGUCUGUCAAACAGUUUUCACUUGACCUCGACCUCAUUUCAUGGAUCAGUGAACAAGGUUAAUUUUUGAUGGUCAAGUCCAUAUCUCAGAUACUAUAAGCAAUAGGGCUAGUAUAUUCAGUGUAUGGAAGGACUGUAAGGUGUACAUGUACAUGCAACUGGCAGGUGUCAUCUGACCUUGACCUCAUUUUCAUGGUUCAGUGGUUAUAGUUAAGUUUUUGUGUUUUGGUCUGUUUUUCUCAUACCAUAUGCAAUAGGUCUACUAUAUUUGUUGUAUGGAAUGAUUGUUAAGUGUACAUGUCUAGCGGGCAGAUGUCAUGUGCAGGGGUUUCAUUAUCUUUCAUGUUGACCGGUACAUUCCUAUUUGUAGGUGGUACUUUUCAAUGUAUUCAAUGAACAUCUUAUAUAAAAAUUCCUGAAUUCAGGCGGUACUUAUCAGUAGCAUAGGAGGGUAAAAGUACUGGGUACCGCCUCUAAUGAAUGGCCUGCAUGUGACCUUGACCUCAUUUUCAUGGUUCAGUGGUCAAAGUUAAGUUUUUGAGUUUCGGUCUUUUUAUCUAAUGCUAUAUGCCAUAGGUCAACUAUAUUUGGUGUAUGGAAAUAUUUUAUGAUCUUUAUGUCAGUCGAGCAGGUUUUAUUUAACCGUGACCUCAUUUUCACGGUUCAUUGCACAGUGUUAAGUUUUUGUGUUUUGGUCUAUUUUUCUUAAACUAUAAGUAAUGUGUCAACUAUAUAUGUUGUAUAGAAGCAUUGUUAGCUGUACCUGUCUGCCUGGCAUAGUUCAUCUGACCGUGACCUCUUUUUCAAGGUUCAUUGGUCUUUGUUUAGUUAUCUUGGUUAAUGUUAAGUUAAUGUGACAGUUGUAAUAAAGCUUAGCUUUAUACUUAGGACUAUCAACAUAAUAUUAAUGAUUAGUAUAGAAGGCGAGACAUUUCAGCGUGUGCACUCUUUUUUUUGUCUCUUUGACAUAUUCCUCAUUCUCAAUUUUAUAAUCAAGUAGUUAUCUUUAUUUUAAUAUCUCAACCAAAUUGUUGAUCGAGAGACAUUUAAAUGAAAAAAUAUGAUCAGUGUAAUGGCUGAGUAUAACAAUAUUUUUGUAGCUUAAUUAGUCUGUUUGGCUGAAUAUCUUUAUGUCUUUUAUACAAUCCUCUUAAACUUUGGUUAAAAUCCUGCUUACCACCUGGCAUAAACACAUGUAAUUACGCUGACUGCAGGUCAAAAGUGAUAGUACAUGUAUCUUCAGGGUUAAAAAAAUAGUUAAUGUUUUCUUGCACUUCAUUAAUAAACCUAAUCACCUCAACAUACUUGAUAACACUAGCAGACUGGGCGGUAGUUUGGUGUGCAUGUGCAAAGGUCAGUUUACACUACAAUAUUAUGAAUAAAAGAAGAUGUGAAUGUAUGUCAGGGAAACAAAAGCGAUCAAAACCAUGAAGCUAUUUGAAAAUAUGUCAAAUACAAUGUAUGGUUACAGUGCCAUAUUGUUAAACAAAAACAUGAAACAAAAAACAUGAAAAAGACUUGCUCCUAUCCAACUUAUCAUUUAUUAAUGCAUACAAAUGUUCAGUUAUCUUAAAGCAGUCUUUAAAACUGUAUAUAAGAAUAAUAUGUUAAUCACAGAUGUUGUACAAGUAAUAUUGAUGCCUUAAAACAAAUGCAUCCAUGCAUGUAAUUGUAUAUUAUUGAUUGUGAUGUGCAUACAUGUUAAAGUUAUGGGGUAACUCUUAGUAAUUAUAAGAAAGUUUUACGCUAUCGUGUGUUUGUUUUAAAGAAGUGCACAAAUGCAAACAAACCCAUUUUAUAUAAAAUGAAUACUUUAAUCAAUUGAUAGUAGUCUAGAAGGUAACCUAUUAAGAUAUUAAAUAUUAGUAGUAUUUACUCUUAGAUGACAAGUGUGGGAGUCUUAUUCAGACUGUGUAGACCAUACCACUAGGACAAAUAUUUGUCUCUAAGAAAGGAGUUACUAUACCACUAGCUUGGACAAUAAUUUGUCACCAAGGAGGAAGUUACAUUACAAGUAGCCAUCAAUCGAUUUACAGCUUAUAAUGAGACCCUUUUUCAGAACCAAUAAAAAUUCCCCCAAAAAACUUUUUAUUAUAGAACGCUGAAGUAUGAUCGAUUUAAUGUAACAUGAACUUUAUAUUCGAAAGUGAUCUACAAAAAAGACAGAGCAACAACACCCUCUAUCCAGCAGACAGAACUCAAAACACUAUAGCACUAUGUCGAUACUUAUACUACAUGUAAGGGCAAUCAGGGUUGACAUUUGCAGUACGUAAGAGGCAAGAAAUAAAUAAUUGAGUACCUUUAAAUCACGAAUAAUAAUCGUAAUUAGGCAGUAAAAAAAUAUCCCAAUUUGAUAGGCACCUUGGUGUCAUAACGAUUUUUCAAAUCAUAAACAUUAUCAAAUACAACAUUAACCAACAAUACAAGUAUAUAUCGACUAAGAUCAACACAUGAAUGUAUCCAGAUACACCAUAAUAACAUAUAGUUUCAAACACUUUAUUAAUAUGUCAUACUAUGUGUUAUACCAUUAUAUAAAAGACACUAGAAACUGAAAUAUUAACUGAUAACUGACCAUACUGUAACCAAGCAUAUUUCGAAAGUAGGUCUAAACAAUAUCCAUCCUAUCUACAACUUCAUAGACUCUCAUCAAUAAUCGACUGAGCAAUAUGACCUCCAAAGAUACACAUAGUUGUGUAGCUUUGAUCACUCACCAACAAAAGCGUACUGAAUAUACCUACACAAACACACAGCUCAAAGUAAAUUAAUGUGAAAUAUUGUUUGUGAUGAGAAUCAAUUAUGACAUCUUAAUAUUAAUACAUUAUACAUGAGUUCCAUUGUAAAUACAAUAUUGAAAUACGUGUAACCACCUAAUCAAUUUAGGUAACUGCUCAUUAGCUUCUCGUUGACAAGAUGGAAAAAAAUAAAUGAUCCUCUCUACAUUCAGGCCACUACCAUCAUUAAUUUCCUGAGUAAUUUGUAGCGAAAACUAUAAACUAAUCAUACUAGCAUAGCGAGUCUCACGACAAUACAAGUAGACUGAGUAUCUGAUGAGCUAAUAAGUUUAUAUAUGAAUAGUGAAUUAAAGAUUAGACCAAUUAAGUUACACUAAAAAAAUCUAUUAUACAUACAAUAUACUCACAGGCCGUAACACAUCAUUAGAUGAAAGAGAAAAAUAUUUUUCUACAUGCAUUAACAAAUGCCAAGAAAUAGGACAUGUACACUAUAUCUUAGAAUCACCUUCCCAUUUACAUGUGUAAUAUAGAUGUAUGUGAUACUUACCCUAUUUGCUUAUGAUCAAGGUAUAUAUUUCUGAGAAAUAAUGCUAAGGUUACAAGUGCAUACAAUGGACCCAUUCAACAGAUCAAUGUGGAGCAUGACAAUUGCAACCCGAGGAUCAGAGGUGAAUAUCUUCAUUUGACCAAAUGCAUCGAUAGAUCCCCAAAUGUCAACGCACAAAUCAGCAAUUAGAGUAUGUCAAUAUAGCAAAUCAUCAAUUCACACCUAUGAUCAAAAUAUUAGAAACUAAUAUAUGAUUUACGACUUGACUGAUAGUAACUACGGAACUUGUGCGAAUCAUAACACUGAUUAAUAAAUCAAAUCUAUUUGUUCAUAAUUGUUAGACCUGAAUACACUCAUAUGUUUUCCUGUCGACUUUUCAUAUGUAAUAAUCCUAAAGCUUUAAAUGAUCAUUACACCCCGACGACACGAACACACACACACACCCUUCUGUUAGAGUUUAAUCUACAUAAUCCCAGUACUUAUUGAGAGUCACUAAUUUCUAUAGCUCAACAACAUGUACACGCUCUAACGUCUCUUGAAAAAUAUUACGGCUCUAAAUUUACAAACACAAAUAGGAUUAGACUACUCUCGAACAUGCCACUCUAUCGAAUAUAGCUAUUUUUAUCAUACUAUUCAUCCUGUUUAGUGUACGAUCCAGCAUGAGCAUCCCAGUAUACAGACAUUAUACUUAUAAUUUGCAAGAUGACUUAAUUCUGCCUUCCUCUCCAUGCAUAAAAUAGAGUUCGCAUCUACACUACACCACUAUAUUCAAUUUUGUAUUUCACUCUCUAUAUCGAACUAUGAUUUUAAUUGUAAUUCAUAUAAUGUCUCUUGUGUUUCUUAGGCCUCUGAGUCAUCUAGCAGAGAUGCUUAAAUGAAAACUCAGAAAUAGCUACGUCAUAUCGAAGAUUACAAAUCCCUUAACUAUUGGUUUCUGUUAUGAGAGUGCACUGAUAAGUUAUGCCGUCCACAUCAAUCUUUCAUGAUCUAGUUCGAAGUCUCUGAUAUUAUAUUUGAUAGAUACAACUGAUCCUAGAUUAUCUGUACCCGCAUUGACGACAUAUUAUCACAUUUAUUAUUCUUUGUUUUUCUCUCCACCUGAGCAUCCAUACAUAAAAUCAUAUACUAUUAAUGGACCUUUAUAUCCUAUUCAUACUAUGCAAAAUUUUUUUCAAGUUAGAGGAAUACUUCUGUAUCUUCACAGAUUACUCAUUUACACUUAGUAGUCCACAAAGGAUCUUUCAGUGUGUUUGGCUCAAUUUCUUAGAUUUGAGCAUUCGAUUUUGAUUCGAAAUUAUAACAUACCGAGACAUAAGAGCUGAAUCUAACACCAAUAGCAAAGAAUCAAAUAUCAGUCAUUGAGCUUUACUUGUCUGAAACGUUAAGAAUACAUUCCUCAUAUUAUUGUACACUAUCUAUGCGUUCAACAUAUUUUUUACAAAAAAUACCCCUAAAAUGUAAUAUAUCUUAUCUUAAACAUUGCCAUUAGUUUGAACAAAACAUAUUGACACAACUCAUUUAGAGUUUAAAUAGCUGCAUAAUAUGAUCAAGUAUACCAGAAAAAUUAUCUCUCUAAUGCUGAGAUUAACAAAUGAUAUAGAAAAUAUACCCUCCUAUUCAAUUGACUAUCAUUAAAAUGACAUUGACAUCUUUCUGCAAGGAAAUUAUACAAUACUUACAUCUAACUAUUCCGUUAGUGUUUAAAGCUUCUAUUACAAAUAUUAUAAUACUACAACUUUACUAAUUUGAUAGAAAACUCAAUUCAUAUAUUAUUAUUUUUGUACAAACUUUGACAGAAGCUCAGAGUUAACUUAUCCAUUAAAGACUAGAAUAAUCCUUUCAAUAAUGAGAAGAUUACUUUGUAGAAAAAUAAUACAUACCAAUUAUAUAUCAUUUUACGUAACUUUUAAACCUCUUCUAAAAGAGGACAAUAUAGAUUAUUUCACUUUGCUCAGAAUUAUUAUACGUCAUUUUUAUUUGCUUAAUAUUUAUAUAGUAGUGGCUCUCAUAUAUUAACAUCUUUUCAUAGAGACUUUUUUUUCACACUUUUUUAUAACAUAUUAUAUGGAUUCAUGUAUCGUCAUACUCUAUAUUGGAUUCAUGUAUAAGUAUAGAUUUAGUCGAUAGAAAAUAAGUAUCUUCCAGUAUCAUACAUCAACACUUAAGUUUCUCUUGUCUCAGUCUUCAUAUCACCUAUAUCUAUUUCUUGCUAGUUAAUAUAUGUUUGCUUAUAUCAUUAUUAAUUCAAUUAAUUACAAAUACCUGAUUUUUAUACGCACAACGCGCAUGGACAGAUAGUUACUCCUUAUAAAACUCUAAAGAUAAUAUACAAUCUACGAACUAUCACUACUUGAUUUAUUUUCUCUCAAAUAUUUAAUUAUAGAAGCAUGGUAAGCUCUAACACAAGAGUAGGACUGAAGUACAGCUUCGAGUCCUUAAUACUUUUACUAUUUUAUAUAUUUUUUAAAUACUAUCUACUGGCAAUUAAUUAACAUGAUGUACUGUUUCUUGUAGUAGGGUUCGCGUUUCAUCUUCUUAGUUUUGCUUUCUAUAGUAAAAUGUUUAGUGCGAUAGUUACUCGAUAGUCACUUAAUAUUAAGUGUAUAUAGUUUUUUCUGAUAACUUCUUUAUGUAUAUGAACUAUAGAACAUGUCAUGAUAACGGUAUGCAGCAAUUCUUAGGGGAUUCCAUAUAAGACAAUGCAUUUCAACACGAACACAUAGGAACUAUACAAGUGUAUUAAUUUAAAAAAUAGAAGAUACAUUACCUACUGUAACAUAUCAAUUAUAAACUGUGAGAGUAUAGAUAUGAACGCACAAUACGAACGAUACAUCCACUUUGCCAAAGAAAUCAUAAGAGACACCGAAUACCCACAGCCAUCUCGUCAUAAAAUUCAUGUUAUGCCACAUCGCGCGAGUAUCACUUUACUCUGUCGAUGAUUGUCUAAUGACUUUCUCAUAUUUAAAUAUAUCUGGUAUGUAAAACCUCUUACAAACUCUCAUUGUUUUCAAAUAUAGCAAACAAAUUAAAUAUAGAUCAAGUUUUUCUCAUGUCAUUACACAAUAGAGCUCUAAAUAUAAACAUCGAAAAUGCAGAUAGACAUGAGAUCUUAUAGAGUGACACUAUAGUAAAUAUUCUUGGCGCAAUACUCAUUACUGCAUCUAUAUCCGAAUACUUUUCGAGUGUAUGAUAUAACCAAUACAAUAGACAUCACGUUCGAGACGUUUUCUUAGUUAUAUCAUCAAGUCCAGUAUCUCUCUUCAUCACACGGAUCAACACCACUAAACCAAUAGUAAUCAAAGACAAAUUAGUCGAUACAAGAUUAGUUUUAAAUUAAUUAUCUAUCUAGUUAUAUAGUUCACUUUAAGAAAUUGAUAUUAUCUGUUAGAAGCCUCAUCCCUUGGUAACAAGACAGCUUCAAUACUACAUAGUAUUAUACUCAGACUACAAACCGAGAAAUAUUUAUUUAAUGAUCUAUAACACCUAGUAUACACGAUCAAUCGUAAGCAGUACACUUUGUGGUUAGAAACAAGACAAAGAAGCACAUCAUUACCAUCAACUAGGAGAAUCUUAGAAAGAUUUAUUCGAUGAUAAAAAAUGUUGUACAUUUUUUGAUAGUGUUGACAUCUUUUGAAAUCUUACGUAAUCAAAAGACUAGGGACAAAAGUGUUCAACUUCACUAAGGGAACCUUUCUAUGAGCCUUGUUAAUGCAAUAUCUCUGAAAAAUCAUAUAUCAAAAAUGCAUGAAAAGGUAAAAAUAAGAAGAGAACGACUUUUACUCCAAGACUUCAACAAUGAUAACAAGCCAUCUUGUACAAAACACACAAUGUCUUUGAAGCGCCAAAUUGUCUGAUUAUUAGAUUAUUAAAGUUUUCUCCCUGGUUACAUUGACAUGUUGAAAAAAAGCCUUUUAACAAUUCAAUGUAAUUUAAACAAUUCUCAUAACAAAAUAACGACAACAAUCCAGUUCACUAAAGUAUUUUAGUUAUAUCUCGAGAGAUAUAAGUUUCAUUGCUGUUUUUAAACUGUAUUAUCACAGCGUCUUAACAAAUUCCAUGUCGUGCUGAGUUACAAAUCAUAAUACAUCUCACUAAAAAUUGAAAUACUUAUAUAUGAAAACAGUCAUUCACUAUACUAAUGUAGGAUACUGGUCCCAAAUCUAUUCCUAUCAUGAAUGCAACAAGGUAUUAUAACUAAUGCUCUAUAUGACUGCACAAGAAAUACCAACGUUUUUAUAAUUUUUAUAGACCACUUAGAUAUUCAGAAUGCUUAGAUACAAAUAAUAUUCCCUGGUAAAAAAUGAUUAUUGAAGCUGAACUCACUCUUACUAAAUUCGUUCACACAUAAACUUAAAAAUUUUUUCAUUUAAUACUUUUUAUUAUACUCAAAAUCAUGACUAUUCUUGACUUUUAUCUUUUUUGUAAGGAUGAAUACCCCCUAACCUUGUAUAAUUACACCGUGACUUAUAUAUUGAAUUGACAUAUAUAUCGUGAAACAUUUUUUUUAUUUUAUUUACAGAUACAAGAAGAAAUCAAUUUUUAGUCUAUAGUCAAUUAGUUGUUUAAUCUCUAAAGGUGAGUAACGUCUGAUAUCAACACUCACUAAAACAACAUUGAUUACAUAUUACAGACUACCACUACAUGUAAGUAUCAUGAGAGGUUGAGUUCAACCAUUAACAGAUUGUUUAACAUAGCCACCCAUAUAAACCUUCCCCAUGCAUUUAAUGCGUCAUUUUGCAGUUCUAAAAAAGUAAUACUUAUCUAUAUUAUAACAUUAUAAUAAGUCUCGUUUACACAUAGAACUAGAACUUAAAGUUAAAUAGAAACACUAUAACGAUUAAAUCGUCCAAUCCCAUAUUAAUAUAUAGUAUAAAUGGCUCAAUCUCAUGAUAAAUGCGUUACUGUCACUCGUACAAGAACAUUUAGUAUUUAUCCAUACCUGUAAUACACAUUAAUCGAAUUUUAAUAUAGAAUUUCUUCAAAAUAGUUGGAAAAUCUCUGUAAGAAGAUAGCAUGUAAAUGUAUCGACUUGUUUUAAUUUAUUAACAUAGUUUAAUCUAGUGUGAUAUGUUCCACUAAUAACUCAAAGAUUGAAAUAGAAUUAGCCUGUUACAUAUCAUAACGAUCAUAGUACCAAAUCUAACGCUCCUAGGUCAAUACCAUGUUUUAUUCUAGCUACUUGUACCGAUGUAGUUCUAUUGGUAUUUAUGUCUAAGCAUGCUUGUUUUCCUUUAUUUUUUUAGAAUAAAUCAGGUCAUUGCGGUUUUCUAUUUUUGAUUUUUUUUCACAUUUGUCAACCUUGGGGCCUUUUAAGAUUACAAUACAUAAUGGGUUUUGCUCAUUGUUGAAAGUCAAACAUAAUUGAGUAACCAACAGGGGCAGAUCCAGCCAUUUUAAAAAGGGGGGUUUCCAACCCAGGAUAAAGGGAGAUUCCAACUACAAUGAUUGUCCAAAUAAAAGGAGGGGUUCCAACCCUAGGAACCCCUCUGACUUCUUUAAAUGCUUCAAAACUAUCAUGCACAAUUUGGUUUCCUACUAAAUGGGAGAAGGUGUCUAUAGCUAUAUGGUAAAUUACAUCCAUCAAAACUUACUUUAAAACCAUGAAUGAGCUGGAUUCUCAGAAGAAGAAAAAACCACAAUGUGGGACCACUAUUUUAUGGGUUGAAACAUUCUUUGUUUAAUUAUUGUAGUAGUAUAUAUGAGGAUUAUGAACUUGCUCAUUUGGGUUCUAUUUUAUAUUCCAGAACAGAAACAUUAUACAUGUUUUUACAUAAAAAAAAAAUAAUGGAAAGAGAAUAAAUUUUUGAUCAAAAGUGAAAUACAACUGUUCUAUUUUUAUGCUCAUUCAGUUAUAAUAUGAAAAAGAUAUCUAAAUAUCAGCAGACCUUCCUGGCCUUGUGUCGUCUUAUGUGUGGGUGGUCUGGUCAAAAUUAAGGACCUAGUAAGUGCAUGUGUCAUGAAAAAAGUAUUGAAAAAAUAAGAAUAGAAGACCCUUUCUAUUAGGAGAUGUAUCCACUUAACAUGUUAAAAUACUAAUUACAUGUAGAUGUUAGACCUAUGAGAUUUGACCAAAAUGUAAUGUUGACGUUUUAGAUAUUUGUGUAAUUGGGUUGCUGUCUCAUUGAUGUAAUUCCACAUUUCUUUUUAUUCUGAUUUAAUUUGAACAAAGAUUUGUGUCUUAAGCUAAUAUUGUUGUAAAUUUGUACAUGUAUGCAUGUACCCCCUACAUGUACAAUUUGUAAAGAAAUGUGGUCACUGUCAGUCCUGCAAAUGAGCUUGAUACAUUCUCUUUCAGAAUUCUUAUACUUACAAAUCUCAUUUUUAUUGCACCAGCUUUAGUGAGACUAUUGAACUUUUGAAGAACAUCUAUAGAAGGGUUCAUAUGAUAAGAAUACAUGAAAUUCUGAAACUGAUAUAAAAUGUUUUGAAUAGUACAUACUUUUCACCCUAGUCAUUAAAGAUAUAAUUAUGUACAUGAGAAACUGUGUACAUGUUUUUGCAGCAAAUACAGCAAGAUUUCUUUAUUACAUAUAUAAUAAUUAGCAUAUAUGUCAUGUAUGUUUUGAUCAUAUAUUAAUUCUUUUAAUAACUCAGUCUCAAGUUGUUAAAAGUAAAAUAUCUCAUUAAUUUACUGAACAUAUUGAUACCAUAAAUAUGGUGCUAUAAUUUUUGGGUUACAAUACUACAUGAACAUGUAUAUUAAAUCCCAUGGUACUGGUAAAAGACUGAUAAAUAUAUAUAAACAUUAACAUUACAAUGUUUGUAUAUUUGUCUACUUUGUCAAAACACCAAUGUGACCUUGAAUGUAUUGUAAGGUGUGAAAUUGCUAUUUCCCAUCUGCAGUUGCAAUGAAUAUUGAUUUAACAUAAAUAUAUAUAUAUAUAUAUAUAGACUAAACUGGCAAAUGACCAAUUAUUAAUACUAUAUCUAGAUCAAAUGUAGGUUGGUACAUACAUAUGUACAAUCACGAAAUAUUGUCCUACUUAUGAGCUUCAGUUACUUGGAUUUUUAUUUACAAUAAUAGAUUCAUUUAAAUUUAUCAAUUUCAAAGACUGAAGUGGUAAGGGAUAUUGAAUAUAUUUGAGGUGUAUGCAGAUGUUGUAUUAAUUGAGGUUAUCCAAGAAUUAGAUUUGAUAAAUGUAUGGACAACAUUUUCCACCCUAUGCACAACCAGUUGAUAAAAAAACAUGAAUUUUACGAUUUAGUUUGCUAUAUCACACUAUGCUAUUUCCAGGAUUGGUGAUUAAUUUUGAGUCAGAUCCCACUUAAAACUUGAAUUUUUGUUCAAAUAUCAGAAAUAUAAGUAAUAAGGAAUUUAUUUGUUUUUUUAUGCCCCCACCAUAGUGAAGGUGGUAUUAAUAGUUACCAAAGGUACCAGAAUUAUAAUUUAGUAUGCCAUGCACGUUUUGUCUACAUGUACAUAAGACUGAUCAGUGACGCUCAUAUCAAAAUAUUUAUAAAGGCAAACAAAUAGAAAGUUGAAGAGCAUUAGGGUCCAAAAUUCCAAAAAGUUGUGCCAAACAUGGCUAAGAUAAUCUAUGCUUGGUAUAAGAAAAUCCUUAGUUUUUGUCGAGCCUGCAACUUUUGUUGCAGAAAGCUCGACAUAGGGAUAGUGAUCAGGCGGCGGUGGUGUUAGCUUACUUCUUAAAAGCUAUAUAUUUUAGAAGGUGGAAGACCUGGAUGCUUCAUAUUUUGUAUAUAGAUGCCUCAUGUUACGAAGUUUCCGUCAGUCACAUGUCCAUUGUCCUUGACCUCAUUUUCAUGGUUCAGUGACCACUUGAAAAAAAGUUCAGAUUUUUUGCAAUGUUGAAUUCUAGUCUAGUCUAGGUCUAGUAUAUUCAGUGUAUGGAAUGACUGUAAGGUGUACAUGUCCAACUGGCAGUGUCAUCUGACCUUGACCUCAUUUUCAUGGUUCAGUGGUUAUAGUUAAGUUUUUGUGUUUUGGUCUGUUUUCUCAUACUUUAUGUAAUAGGUCUACUAUAUUUGUUGUAUGGAAUGAUUGUAAGGUGUUCAUUUCUAGCGGGAAGGUGUCAUCUGACCUUGACCUCAUUUUCAUGGUUCAGUGGUUAUAGUUAAAUUUUUGUGUUUUGGUCUGUUUUUCUCAUACCAUAUGCAAUAGGUCUACUAUAUUUGUUGUAUGGAAUGAUUGUUAAGUGUACAUGUCUAGCGGGCAGAUGUCAUGUGACCUUGACCUCAUUUUCAUGGUUCAGUGGUCAAAGUUAAGUUUUUGAGUUUUGGUCUUUUUAUCUAAUGCUAUAUGCCAUAGGUCAACUAUAUUUGGUGUAUGGAAAUAUUUUAUGAUCUAUAUGUCAGUCGUGCAGGUUUUAUUUGACCUUGACCUGGUUUUCAAGGUUCAUUGCUCAGUGUUAAGUUUUUGUGUUUUGGUCUUUUUUCUUAAACUAUAAGCAAUAGGUCAACUAUAUUUGUUGUAUGGAAGCAUUGUUAGCUGUACAUGUCUGCCUGACAUAUGGUUCAACUGACCUUGACCUAAUUUUCAUGGUUCAUGUUAAGUCUGUGACAGUCGUAAUAAAGCUUUAGAUUUAGGAGUAUCAACAUAAUAUCAAUGAUUAGUAAAGAAGGCGAGACAUUUCCGUGUGUGCACUCUUGUUCUAAAAAUUCAAAGUUUUGUAAACAGGAAAUUUAUAAAAAUUACCACAUAAUUCAUAUUCAUGUCAACACCGAAGUGUAUUAAGUUUUACCCUUGUCUGUAUGUACAUCUCUAACCUAAUUUGGUUUCCGUUCUCUAACAUUAGCUUUCCUCAACCAAUUCUUAUGGAACUUAUACACAAUGCUUAUAACCACAACACACAGAUCAAGUUUAAAUCACGGUGGCGUCACUUUUACUGUUCUAGAGUUAUGUCCCUUUUUGACGUUACAUGCAAGUGGCAGAAUCACCUGUGUCCCAUGGACACAUUUCCCAUUAAUGCAUGUAGAUGUUGGAAUGUAGAAUUUGUAAAUUUCUAGAUGUAAGGGCAGUCUAUACCAAAAUCUUUUUAACUACAAUGUACUAGUCUGGAGACCAAUAUUCCAACAUUUUUCUUAUGAGUGUAAACAUAGCUGUUCAAAUACUUAAUUGCCCAAGUAAAAUUGUUUUAGUCUUGAUAGGACGUGAAACUAGUGGCUUAUGGUACAGACUUAAGAUUUUUAAUACUUCUUAUAAAAUUUGCAGUUACUGUACUUGAACAUUUUUAAGUAGCUGAUAAACAUGAGGAAGUGUAAAAAAGUCUAAAAAGCAAGCCUAAUAUAUGCAAUUUUAUAAGCUUUGGCAUUUUUCAUUUUCAUGGCCCUUCACUUUUAGUCAUACAUGUAGUUCAUUGACUUUGAAUGUUAUGCAUAGUUUAAUUGUUGCUGUAAAGGUGGAGAUGAAUUAUAUAUACACUACAGCUACAUGUACAUGUAAACCCCUUAAGAUACUGUUGAAAAUUUAUAAACAACUUUCUUCAUAAACCAUUCAAAAUAUUAUUUAUUUAUAUUUAUUACUGAUGAUCAUAAUAUGCUAUUAAUUUUGGAGAACAUUUGUAUUAAUAAUUUAAUAUCUAAUGACGCAUAUUUAGAUAGGCUGAUAGUAUAUGACAUGGCUAUUUUCCUUCUUCAUCUGUCCCACAUGUAUUUCUCAGAAAUAAUUGCUUAAUAAUUACUAGCUUAUAAUUUAUUGAUAAUAUACAAUGUAUAUAAAUUUGGUAAGAGGUUAGAUUUUCUUCUCUUAGUUCAUUUACAGUAUGAGUGUUUGCAUUUGAUUCAAAAUUUUGAAGGGCCUCUGUGGCCAAGUGAUAUAAGUAAAAUGUAUGAUGUACAUGUAGUAAUUACUACUUUAAUCACUAGGCAGUCAAUACUGAGGUAAUGAGUUGGAAGGAACCCUGUCGUGCAAGUGCACUCGAUUCCAAUCUCAAUUGACUAGGAUUGUCUUUAUUGCUUUUGAAGGUCGGUGAUUUUCUCUGGGCACUCUGGCUUCCUUCGCCAAUAAAAACUGGUUAUGUGAAAAAGCCCAAAAGAGGCGCUUUAAAGUGGCGUUAAAAACACAAAAAUCAAAUCAAUCAAAAAUUUUGACCCAGUUGUAAUUUGUUACAUUUAUAUACAUGAUAUAUGUCAAAAUGUGGGGUUUUUUUUAAAUUGGGUUAAGUAACUUUCAGUUUUGCGGUUCAGGCAUUAUGAAUAUAGUCCAUCAUUGAUUUGGAAAAUCUGUAGAUUACAUGUGAUAAUUUGAGAAAGUUUGACCUAAUUCCUAUCUAAAAUGUGGGUCAAUAAUAGUUUUGGCAAUUCUAACUUUUCCCAUUCAGGAGAAUUGGUCCUUAAAUCUGUUUAGAUAAGGAAGAAACCAAUUACAUGUAUUAGUAUUAACAAAUCUUUGAAUAAAGAAUCGUUUAAAAGGCAAAAUUAGGGUUUAUCAACACCGCAUAUUAUUACGCGUAUUAUUACGUAACAAACUACUGAAGUUGUGUUGUCUUUGAUUUGUUCUAUAGUACAGCAUAUUAACAAUACACUUGCUUAAAUCGAUCAUGAUUUGCCUAUUGAUAUUUUGGUCUAGCCAAUGUUUUACAAAUGAUUUGUUGUGAUGUAUUUUACAACUGCCUCUAUCUUAGAGACUAUCGAUUACAAACAGAAUUACAUAAUCAAAUAUUAUUCACCAAUAUUAUUUCAUGUGUAUCAUGUGCUUGAUGACCUUUUACUAAUGCUCAAUAAUUCAUAGUUCCUUUUCUCUUUUUGUAGAUACACAGAUGAACUCAGAAGUCAUGAAAGUGAAGAAAUUUUAACUUUGUGAUAGAAGGAAUAUGAAUAAAUCAAGGGAAACCAAACAAGCAAAUAAAUCAGAACCAAAUCAACCAAGAAAUAUUCUUUUUAAUGAUCCCAUUUAAACAUGAUUUUUUUAAAGUGUGUAAAAUUAUAAGAUCAGGUUUAUACAUUAUGUUUUUACAGGUACAAAGCACUAUCAAAAGUCUUUCAAGGGGAAAAUAUAGAACUAAAUUAUUACUUUAAUGCAGUGCAUAUUCAAAAAGCUUUGUCCUUACAUAAUAGCAAUUUGCUAAAAAUGUGUAGUAUGGAUUCAUCUCUUCAAACUUGUUAUUAAGUGUUUAAAUGGUUUUGCCCAUUGCUAGUACUUGCUAGUAUUUGUUAGCAUGAAGCAAGUACAGUUAAAAUGUUCUUACCAUCCAGUGAUUGAUUGUAUGUGUCUUGUAACUGGUUCACACAUACUUUAUCAUGAACACAAGUUUAAAAAUUUUGACUUGUAUAUUAAGACUUCCAUCAUUAUGACAUAUUAUAAGAAAUUAGCUCUUGAAUUGUUUUAUUAUACAAUGAUUUAUUUCUUUGUUUUCUGUACUUGUUAUACAUUUUCUAUUGUCACUCCCUUCACCAAUAUCACACUGCUCAGUCGCUUUGUUUCAGCUUCAUCAGCUACAUGUAUUUAUAUCUUUUUUCCUUUAUACAAUGAUUAAAACAAUUUAAUUACUUAUUUAGUGUCAUUAUGAUGGAAGCUGAUAUACAAGACAUACUAUUUUGAAACUUGGGAGUUAUUUGUUCGUGAUAUAUAGUAUAAGAGGGUCAUAAUGGGGGUACCUUUUUGACGAAUAACGGAAAAGGUUCUUGCCAAAUGAUGUUAAUGGUAAUUUUAUAAAAAUAAAAUGUACACUGGCGAAUCACAAUAUGGAUAUUUUGACAAAUCAUGGUAAAAAAAUUACCAAUUUGACGCUAACGGUAGCCGAAAUAACUGUUUGACACCUGACGUUAAAGGGCAUUACUACCCUCGUAUAAGUGGUACCAUUAGUGUUAAGCCAAUCUUAUUUGGAUUGCAGUUGCAUUAGCAUUGGCAUUUUUCUUUUUUUCACAGAGGUAAUUUAGCCCUGUAUCUUCAGUCAUGGGUCUUUGACUUUUAACGUUUUACAUAUUUGACAUGGUUUUUUUUUAAAUGCACAUUUUAACCUAUAUGCAUUAUACAUUAUAUUAUAGUACUAUCAAAAUAACUUAAAAUCAAGACCUAUCUCUGUGUCAACAUUUUUAUUGAAACUACUUUUCUUUAUAACUAGGUGUUCAAAUUACACCUACAUGUAAAUGUACUUCUUGAUGAAACCUACGCCAAUGACUUGAAUUGGAUGGUGUACAUAAAUUUAUUGCACUGCACUUUCUUCAUAGACUAUAGCUAGUAUCAACCUUUUUUACCUCAUUUGAAGAGAUGAAUUCAAAUUGCUACUGAGAAAACACUGGACAAUUAGAAUAUUAAAAGGAAAAAGCUUUUUGAAUAAACAUUUUUUGUACAGUAUUUUUUAUCUCAAGUUAUUGGGCACUGAACAUAUUGCAACAGUCGGUAAACCAAAUCUUGUUUUUUUAACCAUUGAAACUUAAUAAAAGACUUCAAGAUUUACAACAUUACCUUCAAGUAUAAAAUACACAUUGACACACACAUAAUUCUAAUUGUGAAUUGCAACAGAAAAAAAUUCAUGUAGUUUGAUAAAAAUUAGCAAUGGUUUGUUCUCUGUAUUUUAACUAUAUAAUAAA